GACGGCGUGGUCCCUCUUCAGAUCAGCCAAACGGUCCUCGAAGUCGGGAAGAAAGGCCUUGACAAAGGCGCCCUGAGCGUCCUUCGCGAUUUGCUCCGCGGCAGCAGCCCGAGUCUUCUCUUCCUCCGCAGCCCGGCAUACGUCGGCGGCCAGAAGAUCACGUUCCCGUUUGACCGCGUCCAGCUCGGUCUUCGUGGCAUCAAGGUCGGUCCGCACGACAUCAAGGUUGGCCCUCAAGGCGGCAAGGUCGGCCCUCGAAGC
rnacentral:lncRNA from 1 species